GAGGGCCCCCCCCAAUCCU
rnacentral:miRNA from 1 species